CAGUAGCCACGGUAAUACGAAGGGGGCUAGCGUUGUUCGGAAUCACUGGGCGUAAAGGGUGCGUAGGCGGGAUCUUAAGUCAGGGGUGAAAUCCCGAGGCUCAACCUCGGAAUUGCCUUCAAUACUGGCUGUCUUGAGUACGGGAGAGGUGAGUGGAACUCCGAGUGUAGAGGUGAAAUUCGUAGAUAUUCGGAAGAACACCAGUGGCGAAGGCGACUCACUGGCCCGUUACUGACGCUGAGGCGCGAAAGCGUGGGGAGCAAACAGGAUUAGAUACCCCAGUAGUCCCUGUCUCUUAUAC
rnacentral:rRNA from 1 species